rnacentral:lncRNA from 1 species
GAUUCUUUUAAUAACUAUAUUCUAUAAGUAACUUUUAGACUGGGGUUCUAAUUGUGAUUUAUUGCACUACAAAGUAAUAUAUGGUCUGGUAUUAUACGGUUUUAUAUUUGUUGCGCAGUUUAUGGCUUCUAUUGCACUACAAAGUAAUAUGUAUGCAGUAUGAAUUUUUAUACAUACACAUACAAUCUAUAUAUAUAUAUAUAUAUGGGGUUUGCUAACUUGCGUACGCCUGUUUUUCAGUUGGUACAUUUUAGCAAUGUGUACCGGGUUUCAGUAGACAAAAAUACCCUUAUAUCAUGAAUUCUAAGUUUUAAGGUUAAGGGUAUUUUAAUAAUUUUCAUUCUCAAAAUUAAAAAAAUAAAAAAAGAAACCCCAAAUCCCUUAUCCACCUCUCUCAUUCCUCUCAACCUUUCUCUUUCAUCUCUUUCACCCCAACAUUCUCAACAUUUUCUCUGUCAUCCCUACUCUAGUCCUAAUUGAAAAAAAUCAAAAACAUUUGUCUUAUUUUAAUAAUUUUCAUUCUCAAAAUUAAAAAAAAAAAAUCUCAAACCCUUACUCACCUCCUUCAUUCCUUUCAACUCUUUCUCCUUCAUCUCUCUCACUCAACACAUUUC